UUUAAUAUGGCAGAUAAAGUGCAUUAGAUUUAAACUCUAAAUAUAAAGAAUAAAAUCUUUUAUUAAAA
rnacentral:tRNA from 1 species